rnacentral:rRNA from 1 species
AGACCGAUAGCGAACAAGUACAGUGAUGGAAAGAUGAAAAGAACUUUGAAAAGAGAGUGAAAAAGUACGUGAAAUUGUUGAAAGGGAAGGGUUUGAGAUCAGACUCGAUAUUUUGUGAGCCUUGCCUUCGUGGCGGGGUGACCCGCAGCUUAUCGGGCCAGCAUCGGUUUGGGCGGUAGGAUAAUGGCGUAGGAAUGUGACUUUACUUCGGUGAAGUGUUAUAGCCUGCGUUGAUGCUGCCUGCCUAGACCGAGGACUGCGAUUUUAUCAAGGAUGCUGGCAUAAUGAUCCCAAACCGCCCGUCUUGAAACACGGACCAAG